rnacentral:lncRNA from 1 species
GCACCCAGUAGUGGUCAUGGGCACCCAGUGGAGGUGUUGGGCACCCAACGGUGUUGAAGGGCUCCCAAUGGUGUGUGUGGGCAACCAACAGCAUUGAUGGGCAACCAACGGGGGUCGUUGGUAGCAAAUGGUGGUGAGCACCCAAUGGGGGUGAUGGGUGCUCUUUGGAGGUGAUGGACACCCAACGGAGGUGGUGGGCACCCAACAGAGGUGUUGGGCACCCAAUGAAGAUGAUGGGCACUCAACGGUGUUGAAGGGCACCCAAUGGUGCUGGUGGGCACCCAAUAGUGGUCGUGGGCAUCCAACGGUGUUGAAGGGCACCCAGCAGAGGUGUUGGGCACCCAACGGAGGUGAUUGGCACCCAAUGGGGUUGAUGGGCACCCAAUGGUGUUGAUGGGCACCCAGCAGCAACCAGUGGAGGUCGUUGGUAUCAAAUGGUGGUGGGCACCCAAUGGAGGUGAUGGGUGCUCUUUGGAGGUGAUGGGCACCCAAUGGUGUUGAUGGGCACCCAAUGGAGCAACCAGUGGAGGUCGUUGGUAUCAAAUGGUGGUGGGCACCCAGUGGGGGCAAUGGGUGCUCUUUGGAGGUGAUGGGCACCCAACAGAGGUGUUGGGCACCCAACGGAGGUGAUGGGCACCCAAUGGAUGUGAUGGACACCCAAUGGUGUUGAAGGGCACCCAAGAGCAUUGAUGAGCACCCGUCAGAGGUCAUUGGUGUCAAAUUGUGAUGGGCACCCAGUGGAGGUGAUGGGCACCCAGUGGUGUUGAUGGGCACCCAAUGGUGUUGAUGGAAUCCAACUGAGAUGAUGGGCACUUAAUGGUGUUGUUGGGUACUCUGCGGUAUUGAUGGGCACCCAAUGGUGUUGAUGGGCACCCAAGGGAGCUCAUUGGCCUGAAAUGGUGAUGGGGCACCCAACAUUGUUGAUCUGCACCCAAAGGUGUUGGUGGGCACCCAAUGAUGUUGAUGGGCACCCAAGGGAGCUCAUUGACCUCAAAUGGUGAUGGGGCACCUAGCG